AAGUCGUAACAAGGUUUCCUAGGUGAACCUGCGGAAGGAGCGUAUCCAAACGUAAAACCCCCCCGUGAACCUUCAUCCUGCUCUUGUAACCCGCGUAGUUCGCAAUCUCUGAUAAAUCAUAGCCCGAAGCAGUCAGUGUCGGAAAGUGUCAUUGAUUGUGCAAGGAUAGCGCUUCUACGAUUCCUGUAGACCGGACACUCGGGCAGGAGCUUCGCCAAAGGGUCCCCAUGCCCCGUACCCACAGUUUAAUGUGAAGCUCAAUGUAAUACAUUGGGUAAAAAAACCGAACACCUGUUAACAAUGGAUAUCUUGGUUCUC
rnacentral:misc_RNA from 1 species